CCUACGGGUGGCAGCAGUGAGGAAUAUUGGUCAAUGGACGAGAGUCUGAACCAGCCAAGUAGCGUGAAGGAUGACUGCCCUAUGGGUUGUAAACUUCUUUUAUAUGGGAAUAAAAUGUUCCACGUGUGCGCUUUUGUAUGUACCUUAUGAAUAAGGAUCGGCUAACUCCGUGCCAGCAGCCGCGGUAAUACGGAGGGUCCGAGCGUUAUCCGGAUUUAUUGGGUUUAAAGGGAGCGUAGGUGGGUUGUUAAGUCAGUUGUGAAAGUUUGCGGCUCAACCGUAAAAUUGCAGUUGAAACUGGCAGUCUUGAGUACAGUAGAGGUGGGCGGAAGUCGUGGUGUAGCGGUGAAAUGCUUAGAUAUCACGAAGAACUCCGAUUGCGAAGGCAGCUCACUGGACUGCAACUGACACUGAGGCUCGAAAGUGUGGGUAUCAAACAGGAUUAGAUACCCUGGUAGUC
rnacentral:rRNA from 1 species